GAUCCCCUCCCUCGCAGCACCCCUAGCCUCCGCCCGCCGCGGCGCCGCCCCAGCUCGCGACUUCAGCUCGCACUCCCGUGGCCUUCGCCUGCCGCCCCACCUCGCGAAUCGGGAAGCAGGCGCGCGGUCCCCGGCGGCUAGCACGGGCAGCAGGGGUGCAGGGACGGCGGCCGACGCGCGGGUCCCCGCGGAGGGCGUGCUGGCUGCAGGCCCGCAGGUCCUCGGCGGUCGGUGCGCGCCACACGAACAGGAAGGAGGAAGCCCCUGCCAGCCGUUGGCUCGUGCAUCCUCGAUACCGCCCCGCUCUUCGUCGUCCUCCUCUAUUUCUUCUUGUUUGUUCCCUCGCUUAAUCCCUAACGGAUCCCGACUCUUCACUCUCUCAUCGCUGGCUGCAGGUGUUCUGGAGGAAGACGCAGCGACACCUGCUGAUCCACGCAUCGCUGGCUUGCCUCUUUGGCCGCCCGGGAUAAAUCGACCUCAUGGGAUAAUGAAUACUUUGUUUCUUGGUUAGGUUUGAUUGCAUCAUCACAACUGACGAAAAGGCUGCAGAGGCUUUUCUGCAACAAUGCUGCUUUGUUUCAUAAUGCAAGCACAAAGUUUUCUGAUGGGACUUGCUUUGGUAUAGGGGCAGAGGUACUUCCUGUUGGCUGUGUUUUCAUAAUGCUUCUUCCACAGUAUAUUAUGCCACUUUAUAGCAUGAACAGAUUGCUUUUAGAUGCCACAGUCAUUUAUUUUGGUUGCUCUUACUAGCCAUUGCUUCAAUCUACGCCUAGGCUUUCGGGGUGUAUCCGGAGAAGGUGCUUCAAGCUGACAAGCAAGCGGCAGCUCAACGAGGCAUCAACACUCGCAUGCCCAAUCCCAGUAGUUACGCCAUUAACUGUGUUUUUUUUUGCGAUAUACUUGAAUUCAAUGGCUAGACAUUGCUACUGACUCUAUAUUCUACAUUACAAGCAAUAUAUUUCCUGCUUGUAGAGGGAUAACAUGUUUCUGCACUGAAGUAAUAUUUGAAGAAUAAGUAGUUAUCUUUCUUCUUUACUGCAGCAUUGUAUUUGGGAUACUUUAAACUUACCCAAAUCAGUUACCACAACUGGAUGCUAGCUAAUAUGCUCUUGGUUUUUUAAGUUUGCAACUUGGUAGAAGCCCUGCUAUUUUCUUUCAAGCCUGCAACUGAUUAGUUCUGUUAUUUUCUUUGCAACUUUUUUUCUACGAUUAAACCACUUGUUGAACUAAUUACAAAUUUAUGUUGGUGCAGUCCAGUUUGGGAUUUUGCUGCGUACUGUUUAAUGUAUCUUUGAUGAAAGUGUUUCUUUCUUGACUUUACAGGGUAAUCGAGGAAUUGGUGAAGCAGCUUUAGUAUUCAAGUGUUUCUUUUCCAUAGAUAUCCAUAUUGUAAGACCAAUUGAAUUAUUGCUGCCGAGCAAUUUGACAUUGAAUUUGUACAUACUAUAUAUUUUGAGCUCUGGUUUACAUCUGGGUUUCGGUUGUUGAUUUGUUUGAUUGAAA